GACGAACGCUGGCGGCGUGCUUAACACAUGCAAGUCGAACGAAGUGGCGAACGGGUGAGUAACGCGUAAUCAACCUGCCCUUCAGAGGGGGACACCAGUUGGAAACGACUGCUAAUACCCCAUACUGAAGGAGGUGAUUGCGUCUGAUUAGCUAGGUGGAGGGGUAACGGCCCACCAAGGCGAGGAUCAGUAGCCGGUCUGAGAGGAUGAACGGCCAAAUUGGGACUGGGACACGGCCCAGGCUCCUACGGGAGGCAGCUGUGGGGAAUCUUCCGCAAUGGACGAAAGUCGGACGGAGCAACGCCGAGGGAUGGAUGACGGCCUUCGGGUUGUAAAGCUCUGUUAAUCGGGACGCGGUACCGGAAUAGAAAGCCACGGCUAACUACGUGCCAGCCGCCGCGGUAAUUC
rnacentral:rRNA from 1 species